AAUGAACGGAACGCUGGCGGCGUGCUUAACACAUGCAAGUCGAACGCGAAAGGGGACUUCGGUCCCCCGGUAGAGUGGCGCACGGGUGAGUAACGCGUAGAUAAUCUACCCCUAUAUUUGGAAUAACAACUCGAAAGGGUUGCUAAUACCGGAUACGCUUGUCUGUAUGCGAGUACGGACAAGGAAAGGUGACCUCUCCAUGGAAGUUACUGUAUAGGGAUGAGUCUGCGUACCAUUAGCUAGUUGGUAGGGUAAAGGCCUACCAAGGCUACGAUGGUUAGCGGGUCUGAGAGGAUGAUCCGCCACACUGGAACUGGAACACGGACCAGACUCCUACGGGAGGCAGCAGUGGGGAAUAUUGGACAAUGGGCGAAAGCCUGAUCCAGCCAUGCCGCGUGUGUGAAGAAGGUCUUCGGAUUGUAAAGCACUUUAAGUUGGGAGGAAGGGCAGUAAGCUAAUACCUUGCUGUUUUGACGUUACCGACAGAAUAAGCACCGGCUAACUUCGUGCCAGCAGCCGCGGUAAUACGAAGGGUGCAAGCGUUAAUCGGAAUUACUGGGCGUAAAGCGCGCGUAGGUGGUUUGUUAAGUCUGGUGUGAAAGCCCUGGGCUCAACCGGGGAAGUGCAUUGGAUACUGGCAAACUUGAGUACGGGAGAGGAUAGUGGAAUUUCGAGUGUAGGGGUGAAAUCCGUAGAUAUUCGAAGGAACACCGGUGGCGAAGGCGGCUAUCUGGACCGAUACUGACGCUGAGACGCGAAAGCGUGGGGAGCAAACAGGAUUAGAUACCCUGGUAGUCC
rnacentral:rRNA from 1 species